UGUCCUGUCUGUGUGCUCUCUCCUGA
rnacentral:piRNA from 1 species